GUCUACCGCCAUACCACUCUGAACAUAUCCAAUCUCAUCUGAUCUCAGAAGCUAAGCAGAGUCAGGCCUGGUUAGUUUAAUACUUGGAUGGGAGAAAUGCAAACCAAAACCACAGUGAGGUAUCCC
ensembl:rRNA 5S_rRNA 5S ribosomal RNA